rnacentral:lncRNA from 10 species
AUUAACAUGGGGCCAGAGCAUGGCCAUGGGCCGAAGGAUCAAGAGCGCUUCCCACAGUGCCCACAAUCACUGAGCCCGGGACCCAGCCCAGGGGACAGGGAUGGCUGACUCACACCAGGUGCUCCUUCUGUGCAGGCGUGCGUUACUGUCUGAGCCAUAGACGCGCACCAUCUGCUCCAGGAGAUGGAUCCCCAUGUUGUCAUACCCAUUUACAAGAUGAGGAAACUGAGGCUUGGAAGACUUGGGACUUGCACGCAGG